ACGACCUUACUUGAACAGGAUCUGUUCUAUAGGUUUUUUACCUCUGUAUCAUUGAGUUUUAAGGGGGCAGGACCCCAAGCCUGGUGGAUAAACCAUGACCGUGUGACUAGAGCUUGAUUAGUGGUUCUGUGGUCCAUGUGACCACCUGGGCUGUGGAGGAUCGUUCUCAAGCUGGGUUGGUUCUAGGUGGGGAUGGUCACACAUUUGUUUGACAGACU